rnacentral:rRNA from 1 species
GGGCCCGCACAAGCGGUGGAGCAUGUGGUUUAAUUCGAUGAUACGCGAGGAACCUUACCAGGGCUUAAAUGCAGAACGACAGAGGUGGAAACACCUCCUUCUUCGGACGGUCUGCAAGGUGCUGCAUGGUUGUCGUCAGCUCGUGCUGUGAAGUGUCGGGUUAAGUCCCAUAACGAGCGCAACCCCUAUUUCUAGUUGCCAGCGGUUCGGCCGGGGACUCUAGAGAAACUGCCAGCGUAAGCUGUGAGGAAGUGGGGAUGACGUCAAAUCAUCACGGCCCUUACGUCCUGGGCUACACACGUGCUACAAUGGUAGGGACAGAGAGUUGCCAACCCCGCGAGGGUGAGCUAAUCUUCAAACCCCUAUCUCAG